rnacentral:rRNA from 1 species
UGACUCUGGGAUAAGCCUUGGAAACGGGGUCUAAUACCGGAUACGAGACGCUCGGGCAUCCGAAGCGUCUGGAAAGAUUUAUCGGUCAGGGAUGGGCUCGCGGCCUAUCAGUUUGUUGGUGGGGUAGUGGCCCACCAAGGCGACGACGGGNANCCGGCCUGAGAGGGCGACCGGCCACACUGGGACUGAGACACGGCCCAGACUCCUACGGGAGGCAGCAGUGGGGAAUAUUGCACAAUGGGCGCAAGCCUGAUGCAGCGACGCCGCGUGAGGGAUGAAGGCCUUCGGGUUGUAAACCUCUUUCAGCAGGGAAGAAGCGCAAGUGACGGUACCUGCAGAAGAAGCGCCGGCUAACUACGUGCCAGCAGCCGCGGUAAUACGUAGGGCGCAAGCGUUGUCCGGAAUUAUUGGGCGUAAAGAGCUCGUAGGCGGUUUGUCGCGUCUGCUGUGAAAACUCGAGGCUCAACCUCGGGCUUGCAGUGGGUACGGGCAGACUAGAGUGCGGUAGGGGUGACUGGAAUUCCUGGUGUAGCGGUGGAAUGCGCAGAUAUCAGGAGGAACACCGAUGGCGAAGGCAGGUCACUGGGCCGCAACUGACGCUGAGGAGCGAAAGCAUGGGGAGCGAACAGGAUUAGAUACCCUGGUAGUCCAUGCCGUAAACGUUGGGCACUAGGUGUGGGGCUCAUUCCACGAGUUCCGUGCCGCAGCAAACGCAUUAAGUGCCCCGCCUGGGGAGUACGGCCGCAAGGCUAAAACUCAAAGAAAUUGACGGGGGCCCGCACAAGCGGCGGAGCAUGCGGAUUAAUUCGAUGCAACGCGAAGAACCUUACCAAGGCUUGACAUACACCGGAAACUUCCAGAGAUGGUUGCCCCGCAAGGUCGGUGUACAGGUGGUGCAUGGUUGUCGUCAGCUCGUGUCGUGAGAUGUUGGGUUAAGUCCCGCAACGAGCGCAACCCUCGUCCUAUGUUGCCAGCGGGUCAUGCCGGGGACUCAUAGGAGACUGCCGGGGUCAACUCGGAGGAAGGUGGGGAUGACGUCAAAUCAUCAUGCCCCUUAUGUCUUGGGCUUCACGCAUGCUACAAUGGCCGGUACAAAGGGCUGCGAUACCGCGAGGUGGAGCGAAUCCCAAAAAGCCGGUCUCAGUUCGGAUUGGGGUCUGCAACUCGACCCCAUGAAGUCGGAGUCGCUAGUAAUCGCAGAUCAGCAACGCUGCGGUGAAUACGUUCCCGGGCCUUGUACACACC